GUUGCCUCAUUCACACAGCUCGGCCAGUGUACUUUUAAUUCUACCCACUUCAUAACCCCUAGGUAUGGAGAAAAGAUUGCCCGCGCUCCUUCUCCAACCGCUCAGUCAACACCACUAGCGGGCGUUUUCAGCGACGAGCUUGGAGUGCCCCCCUGUGGAAGGAGAUGAGCACUGCAAUUGCCUCCUUACAGGUCAGGGGAGAUGACAGUGCCAACCUCACAGAGUGAUGAAGAGGGAAACAGCAGUCAAAAAAACCAGCACCUGACACAGGGGAUAAUAUUGAUCCACCAUUAUAUGUUCGAACUGAAUUUCUGGUCAUCUCAUGCUCAUGAUUCCACUGAGUUACCUGCUCUUUCUUGUCCUACCUUGCGGCUGCAAGUGCAAGCUAUGGUAUGGGACAAGUUUUCCCCUGUGUAAAGCUAAC
rnacentral:lncRNA from 1 species